UUGCGACUGUCACACAGUCGACCAAGCGCCCUCGGACCACCUCUCCGGCGCCGACUGAAAAGGCGUCGAAGCAGCCCAGGGCGGCCCCGUCAAAGCCGACCAAGCUCCUGCCGAAGAUGAAGGUGUCCAUCCCCACCAUAUCAGGGUAAUCAUGCUGCUUAAGUCUUCUUGUUUUGUAUGAACUUUAUCUCUGGUUGGCGCUGGAGUUAGUCGACUGAUUCCUUGGAGUUACAGUGCUGCUACUUCUGAGACCUCAGCCCGGGCUGACGACCAUGAGAUGGAGGACGCAGCAACCUCAAAACCUGGUACUAUACUCUUAACACCGUUUCUAGUCGACUGACUCAUGAUCUCUGACUCUGAUUCUUUUCUGUUGCUCCAUCCAAUGUUGUUAUCACUCUCCCUGAUGAUGAUGAAGAUGAGGA
rnacentral:lncRNA from 1 species